UCUAGUUGACCUUGAGCUUCAUUAUAUGCUUAUUAUAAUAUGUUAGCAUGAUGAAUAACAUGCCUACAGGUGCCAUGACAGUCCCAAGGCUAGCCACAAAAGGUCAAAGAGUGGGAAAUAGCCAAAUUCCCGGGAAUCCAAGCCCCUUCCCCAGGAUAGUUAGACUGGUCCUUCCACUUAUUUGCAUAUGAAGCUACCAAAGCUCAUAAAAAUGGGCAACUCUGCCCCUCAUGGCCUCUCUGUCUCCCCCAUCCCACCAUUCAGGGACAGUCCCAGACUCU